rnacentral:rRNA from 1 species
GUCGAACGGGCUCUUCGGAGCAAGUGGCGGACGGGUGAGUAACGCGUGAGAAUGUGCCUUCAGGAUGGGGAUAACAAUAGGAAACUAAUGCUAAGACCCAAUGUGCCUUAAGUGGUGAAAAAUGAAAAUUGCCUGAAGAGGAGCUCGCGUCUGAUUAGCUAGUUGGGGUGGUAAAAGCGCACCAAGGCAACGAUCAGUAGCUGGUCUGAGAGGAUGAGCAGCCACACUGGGACUGAGACACGGCCCAGACUCCUACGGGAGGCAGCAGUGGGGAAUUUUCCGCAAUGGGCGAAAGCCUGACGGAGCAAUACCGCGUGAGGGAGGAAGGCUCUUGGGUUGUAAACCUCAAAACUUAGGGAAGAAAAAAAUGACGGUACCUAAUUUAAGCAUCGGCUAACUCCGUG